rnacentral:rRNA from 1 species
GACGUAGGUGGCGAACGUUAUUCGGAAUUAUUGGGCGUAAAGGAUGCGUAGAUGGUGUAGUAAGUUAUCGGUGGCAAAUCGAGGCUCAACCUCGUGGAAGUCGGUAAUACUGCUAUGCUAGAGGAUAGGAGAGGUUAACGGAACUCCCUGUGGAGCGGUGAAAUGCGUAGAUAUAGGGAAGAACACCAAUAAGGCGAAGGCAGUUAACUAUUCUAUUCCUGACAUUGAGGCAUGAAAGCGUGGGGAGCAAAACGG